UUUUGUGUGCGCCCUAACUCUCUUAAACUUUAAAAUUUAAACUUUUUAAAACUUGAUUCAAACUUUUUUAUGUUGAUGUUUAUGCGCGAAAACACCGAUAUAGGGAAAGUAGGCUAAGUCGAACUGCAGCAGUUCGCAGUCUCAUGGCAGACACCUUGUGCAAACCAAGUGAUCAUCUCUCAGAAUUGCUAAGAGAGAGCCCGAAAUGCUUCUGGAGGUUGCGGCUGAUAGUUGGUGAACGCUACUAACGACAACCACCAAAUACUGCUACGCAUUUCAACCAAACAGUGUUCACGUACCAUCAGCUCUUACUUUUCCGAGCUACGCAGACCAUAUUCUAUUCCCUACACAGUUUCCGUACCCAUGCCCAUGGAAUGUACGCAGAAAAUGUGCCCCACAGCACCUCAGUAGUUAUUCGAUGUUUCUCUCGAGUUUUGCCUUUUUUCUAGUUCAAAUUCUGAAGACUAGUACGUGUUUGGAAGGGGUCAUGAUCGUUCAUGCCACUGGACUCGCAGUGUUAAAUCAAAGGUCGCCUGCACUUCUUGGUCUGCAAAUUUCGGUCUACGGAAAAUUGUGAAAGGAAAUACGGUUCACAACACUGGAUAACGCUUUAUACGAUACAACGUCAUGGUAUUACUGCUAGACAUUUUUUCACUUCUCGAACAGAAUAAAAGAGUGGCGUGACAAUGGCCCUUUCGCGCAGACAAA